rnacentral:lncRNA from 1 species
GACCAGAGGCAGGGAUGGGAGUAAUGCAGAGAGGAGCCAUCAGAAGCUGCAAAAGGUGAGGAUCAGCUUACCUCCUGGAGCCUCCAGAAGGAACAGGCCCUGCUGACACCUUGGUUUCAGCUCCUCAAGACUUAUCUGGAUGUCUGGCCUCCAGAACUGUUAGAUAAUAAAUCUGUGGAGUGUUUUUACUUCUGGUUGUCAAGCCUCUAAGUUUGUGGUAAUUUGUCAAGAACCCAGUUGGAAACAAUCACUGCUAUUCCCCACAUCCUAAAGGCUAUAACAGACUCACUCAGAGCCCCAGCCAAGUACCAAGAAUUACCCCUUUAGCGGGGAACAGAGUUGGGGCUGUCCAAGUCUUGCUUGAGGAAUAAGACUUUGAGAAUGGAUUCUGGCCUCGUUCUGCUUUUUUGAAUUGACCCAACUCCGAGUCCACACUUACCGCACACGCGAUCCUUCCCCUGGGCCGCAGCUUCACACUCCAGUCUUGUUCACAAGUGAGAUGUCACUGACCUCAGCAUCUUGUGGUCUCUGUGAGCUGAGUUCAAAGUCACCAUGAAUUCUGCAUUAUAGAAGUUAUUUCCAGGAUGACUACUGAAAGUCGCAAAUUAAAAAGAAAUAAGUUCAAAAGAAAAAUAAAGGCAAAUCUUGUUCCAACCAGCAUUCCUAUUCAGAUACUCUACAGUUUAGUAAUCUUAUUUUUAAUUUAAAUUCCUUGCUUUUUUCAACAGACUUCCCUAUAUAUAUAUAUAUAUAUAUAUAUAUAUAUAUAUGAAUUUUAUUUGUUUAUUUUUGGCUGUGCUUGGUCUUUUUUGCUGUGUGGUUUUUCUCUAGUUGUGCUGCAUGGGCUUCUUGGUGCUGUGGCUUCUCUUGUUGCAGAGCACAGGCACUAAAGCAACGGGCUCAGCAGCUGUGCACACGGGCUUAGUUGCUCUGAGACACGUGGGAUCUUCCUAGAUUAGGGAUUGAUCCUGUGUCCCCUGCACUGGCAGGUGGACUCCCAACCACUGGACUACCAGGGAAGUCCUCCCUAUAUUUUGAACUCUUGAAUCUUUACUUUUCACUCUAAGUUGUCAGUCUGGAUGAUAUUUGAUUCAUGGACUCUGGGUAGUAAACCAAACCUUAAUUAAUCUCAAUAUUGCUAUUGCUAUUGCUAAGUCACUUCAGUCAUGUCCAACUCUGUGUGACCCCAUAGACGGCAGCCCACCAGGCUUCCCCAUCCCUGGGAUUCUCCAGGCAAGAACACUGGAGUGGGUU